rnacentral:misc_RNA from 1 species
ACGAGUUAGGGUCUUCCAGGCCCGACCUCCCAACCCUAUGUUUAUUGAACCUCUGUUGCUUCGGCGGACCCGUCUUACGACCGCCGGAGGACCGCCGCGAAGCGUCCUCUGGUCAGCGUCUGCCGAUAGCCAACCACUUCAAAACUCCGAAUGAAUUGUGUCAUUAUAUCUAAGUCUAUGAUUAAAUUAAAGCA